GAUGAAGAACGUAGCGAAAUGCGAUACGUAAUGUGAAUCGCAGAAUUCAGUGAAUCAUCGAGUCUUUGAACGCACAUUGCGCCCCCUGGUAUUCCGGGGGGCAUGCCUGUCCGAGCGUCAUUGCUGCCCUCAAGCACGGCUUGUGUGUUGGGCCUCCGUCCUCCUCCCGGGGGACGGGCCCGAAAGGCAGCGGCGGCACCGCGUCCGGUCCUCGAGCGUAUGGGGCUUCGUCACCCGCUCUUGUAGGCCCGGCCGGCGCUUGCCGACACAUCAAUCUUUUUUCCAGGUUGACCUCGGAUCAGGUAGGGAUACCCGCUGAACUUAAGCAUAUCAAUAAGCGGAGGA
rnacentral:misc_RNA from 1 species